GCGCCCGUAGCUCAGCUGGAUAGAGUAACGGACUACGAAUCCGGUGGUCGCAGGUUCGAAUCCUGCCGGGCGCGCCA
rnacentral:tRNA from 2 species